UAAGGAAUAUUGGUAAAUGGACGCAAGUCUGAACCAGCCAUGCCGCGUGGAGGAUGAAGGUCCUCUGGAUUGUAAACUUCUUUUAUCUGGGACGAAAACGGGAUUUUUAUCUCAAUUGACGGUACCAGAGGAAUAAGCUCCGGCUAACUCCGUGCCAGCAGCCGCGGUAAUACGGAGGGUGCGAGCGUUAUCCGGAUUUACUGGGUUUAAAGGGUGCGUAGGUGGGCUUAUAAGUCAGUGGUGAAAUCUCCGAGCUUAACUUGGAAUCUCCCGUUGAUACUUCAGCUCGUGAAUUAUCUGCAGGUAAGCGGAAUAUGUCAUGUAGCAGUUAAAUGCUUAGAUAUGACAUCGAACACCAAUUGCGAAGGCAUCUUACUACAUAUAAAUUGACGCUGAGGCACGA
rnacentral:rRNA from 1 species